CCUACGGGUGGCAGCAGUGGGGAAUAUUGGUCAAUGGGCGCAAGCCUGACCCAGCCACGCCGCGUGAAGGAAGAAGGCUCUCGGGGUUUUAACUUCCUUUUACAGGGGAGUACAGAAGACGGUACCUGUCGAAUAAGCCACGGCUAACUACGUGCCAGCAGCCGCGGUAAUGCGGAGGGGGCCAGCGUUGUCCGGAUUUACUGGGUGUAAAGGGUGUGUAGGCGGGCUGACAAGUCAGAUGUGAAAUCCGGGGGCUCAACCCUCGAACUGCAUUUGAAACUGGUGGUCUUGAGUAUCGGAGAGGCAGGCGGAAUUCGUAGUGUAGCGGUGAAAUGCGUAGAUAUUAGGAGGAACACCAGUGGCGAAGGCAGCCUGCUGGACGACAACUGACGGUGAGGCGCGAAAGCGUGGGGAGCAAACAGGAUUAGAUACCCCAGUAGUC
rnacentral:rRNA from 1 species